rnacentral:rRNA from 1 species
UGGGCGAAACAGUACUAAGAUGGGUGACCUCUUGGGAAGUCCUCGUGUUGCACCCCCUCCUUUU